CUCCAAGCCCUCUUCAGGGCUACACAUACAUAUAUAAAUUAAUAUU
rfam:Caprimulgus carolinensis contig88962, whole genome shotgun sequence.